GGGCCGUUAGCUCAAUUGGUAGAGCGCGUCAUUUGCAAUGACGAGGCAACCGGUUCGAAUCCGGUACGGUCCA
rnacentral:tRNA from 1 species